ensembl:lncRNA LINC02548 long intergenic non-protein coding RNA 2548
AUUGGGAGUUAGGUUUCAGCAUAGGAGUUUUUAGGGCAUGGAGAGGCACAAACAUCCAGACAAGCAUUUACCUUCUGCUGAAAUUGUCUCAGUGUUUGCCUCUCCUAAUGGAAUAUGGGCCACAUGUACAGCAAGGGCUCAGCAAAUGCUUGCUGAACAAACAAGUUUGAGGCAGGUUUCUAACUCAGGUAGAUCGUUUCAUCCUCUUCAUCUCCCAGCAACCAAGAAAACCAGCCUAUUGCCAUGGGGGGGUCCUCCAACCCUGGCUAUUCUCCAAUGCUAAAGACUGACAGAUAAUCUCAAUUAGCAAAUUGACCCUUGUGGAUUUUCUGCACUCAUAGCAAAUGUCUUCAGGAAAACUGAAUUUCUCUCCAUACCUGGAUUAAUUUUCAGUAAUGGAAUGACUGGGUCAAAGGAGAUCAACAUUGCUGUGGCUCUUUCAGGUUCUCUUAAAUUCCAUGGAUUUUAACUUUGGCCCAUGACCUCCUUGACCUCUGGAAAUGUGACAUCCUGCACCUGCUGCAUCAGGGCUCUUCCCUGGUCUUGCCUACACUUGUGUCUACACAGAUGCCUCUUCCUGUCCAUAUCACUUGCUUCUGCAUAAAGUGGGUGCAGAAGAUAAUGAGACGGAUUUGACCGCGGUGAACAGGCAGGCACACAAGAUGGAGCAGGCCCUGGUGAUAAACCCCAAUUCAAGUGAGAGGAAGUAUGAGGAACCAGAUUGGAAGAUGGAGUCCAGUGCCCAGAGAUCAUGGUCCAGGCAGCUUGAUAAACCAGAGGGAUAGUCUGAGAGAGAAACUGAAGGUCAAAAUCAACGCAGUGGUGCCGAACAGAAGGGCCCGAGGUGCGAUGAGUAUAAUAUGAACACGAAGGAAAACAGCGAGUUCAGAAGCCUGGAGAAUCAGAAGCAGGUCAAGCGCUGGGGUUCAGGGCAAAGACCCUGAACACUGUGAAGGUGUUGGAGACCUGUUUUGAGGUGGCACUGCGGCUCAAUGUGAGUGCAGACCUGAGAGAUUAAAGUGCCUACGAAGGGCCAAAUACCUGUCCCUUCAUGACAUGA